rnacentral:lncRNA from 1 species
AAGAUUUUGGCGAUGCAGAGUAACAAAUGGAGAAUCAGCUACAUCAAAGAAUGGAAAAAUAGAUCUUGUGUAUAUUUGGGAAGAAUGGCCAUUACUCAUUGAAGAUGGACUUCAGAGCAAUAGUAGUAUAACUGUACCUGGUAGGCCUGUAGAAGUGAGCUGUGCACAUACAAAUCGUUUAGCAGUAGCUUAUAAACAGCCCACAUGUAAUAGUAGAUCUCAGGAAUUUGUUAUGCAUGUGAGUAUCUUCGAGUGUGAGUCUACAGGAGGUUCAUGUUGGAUCCUUGAGCAGACAAUUCACUUAGAUGAGUUAAGUACAGUGUUGGAUUCUGGCAUUAGUAUUGAUAGCAAUUUAGUGGCUUAUAAUAAACAGGAGACAUAUUUAGUCAGUAAAGAAAGUAUUACAUCAAGCACAAAACAUUUGGUUCACUUAGAUUGGAUGUCUAGAGAAGAUGGUUCUCAUAUCUUAACCGUAGGAAUUGGCUCAAAACUUUUUAUGUAUGGACCCAUGGCUGGCAAGGUACAAGAACAGACUGU